CAAAGUUCAUCAAAAUACAAGGGAACUGUAAAACUACAGUGUUCUGUGACUGAACUUUCCUGUCAGCAGUUGGACUUUCUGUGAAUAGCGGUGACAUCACAGCAGGUUUCUUUCGUCGCUGCUACACUCUUUCAGCACAGAACAAACUCCGAGGGGCUGGGAGGGGCCGGAAAAAUGCCUCCCUNGUUCACCAGCCUGCUGAAACACGCUAAGGAGAUUUCCUCACCUGUUACCACGCCUUCUCCUGCCUCUUUCUGAGUGGACGAAGCCAGCCAAGACCCACCCUGUGCCAGGUGGCACUGUCUGCUUGCAGGUGGCAAAACCGAGGCCCAGCAGGGCAGGCAGAGG
rnacentral:lncRNA from 1 species